AGAGCAGCCGGUGCUCUUAACCUCUGAGCCAUCUCUCCAGCCCUUAUUUCUAUUUUUAAAUUAUGUGUAUAGGCGUGUGUCUGUGUGGGUGUGUGCUUGUGAGUACAGAUGCCCAUGGCAGUUGUUAGAGUGUUGGAUCCGCUGCAGCUGGAGUUGCAGGAGAUGUAAUCCUCCCUGCAUGGGUAUGGAUGCUGGGAAAACAAACUCGGAUCCUCUCCAAAGGUGGGAAGUGUAGACACUUGUCCCGAAUGUGCCUGAAUCGCCAAAGAUUCACAGCAACGGAGGAUGCUGAGGAUCCACAGCUGAGGAUGCCGAACUGAACCCUCUGAAAUUGUGACUCAAAAUCAGUAUUUCUCCUACAGGUUGUUACCCUUGGGUAGUUUGUCCCAGCAGCAGAACGCUGACAUCCUCGGGUCUGAUCAUUCCUCGGAAGGACUCACACAACCCCUGGGUGCUGUGAAUCUUGUUGGCACAGAGGUUUUUAUUUCGUUAUGUUACAUGUAUGGGCAUUUUGCCUACAUAUAUGUCUGUGUGACACAUGUGUGCAGUGUCCUGGAGGCCAGAAGACAGCAUCAUAUCUCCUGGGUCUGGAAGUUGUGAGUCACCAUUUGGGAUUUCAGCCUGGUCCUCUGGAAGAACAGCCAGUGUUUUUAACCUCUGAGUCAUCGCUCCAGACCCUGGUCACAGCUUCUUACAGAAAAGAAAGAAAGAAAGAAAGAAAGAAAGAAAGAAAGAAAGAAAGAAAGAAAGAAAGAAAGAAAGGUAUUAAAAUCCACUAGAGAAACAGAGGUCUGGGGGAAGACUCCUGCACAACGCUUCCAAAUGGUCGCUCCUGAUGUGUGGACAGUGUUAACUUCUUCAAGCAACAGCUUGGGACAGGGCACGUGCCUGCUGUCAUGAUCCCAGUGUCAAAUGUCCCCACAGGAUCAUUCUGGUGGUCUAGCCAGUGAUGGCGUAACUUUAGAUGGCCUUAGAAACAUGGGGCCUCAUCAGAGGACAUUGGUUCCAGGGGGUAUUCCUUUAAGGGUUAUAGGAUACGUGCUCUCUUAUCCCUCCCGGAUCUCUCCGCUUCCUGAAGUGAACAGCCUCUCACACACACUGCCACUACCAGGACGCCCGAGUCCAUGGCCAAGUAACCAUAGACUGAACUCUCUGAAAUCAGGAUCCCAAGUGAUUCUUCCUCCCUUAAGCAUCUUCUCAGUUUUGCAGCAGAACAACCAACCGGGGGUACCCACAGUUAUCUUGGUGUCUGAGGUUUUUACUGGGGCUGCCUUACACCUGAUGGUUGAUACCACCAUGGUGGCGGCAUUAGCUUCCAGCUGCUAAGGAGAUGGGACUAAGACUGUGUGACACUCACCACAAAUUACAUAGUUAUACACCCUCUAGUAUGACCAGAAGCAUGGACUGUUAAGAUAAAUCUUUCCAUCAAAAGCUGCUGAGCCCCACCGCCACGUGUGUGCUUUAUGCCAGCCACCCGCCUGAGUUAGGGCCCAAAUGAAUACACAGAAACUUGUAUUAGGUUCAAA